GAUGAACGAGGGAGAAAGGAGGAACACAUGCAAGUCGAGGGGAAACGACGGGGAAGCUUGCUUCCCCGGGCGUCGACCGGCGCACGGGUGAGUAACGCGUAUCCAACCUGCCUCUGACUGAGGGAUAACCCGUCGAAAGUCGGCCUAAUACCUCAUGGCAUCGUCUGCGGGCAUCCAACGACGAUUAAAGAUUUCAUCGGUCAGGGAUGGGGAUGCGUCUGAUUAGCUUGUUGGCGGGGUAACGGCCCACCAAGGCUACGAUCAGUAGGGGUUCUGAGAGGAAGGUCCCCCACAUUGGAACUGAGACACGGUCCAAACUCCUACGGGAGGCAGCAGUGAGGAAUAUUGGUCAAUGGGCGGGAGCCUGAACCAGCCAAGUAGCGUGCAGGAUGACGGCCCUAUGGGUUGUAAACUGCUUUUAUGCGGGGAUAAAGUGAGGGACGUGUCCUUCAUUGCAGGUACCGCAUGAAUAAGGACCGGCUAAUUCCGUC
rnacentral:rRNA from 1 species